GUACAGGCUUGAAAGUUAAGGUCCGACUGUAUUUGAAAACUAGCGUGCAGCAGGAUUUUGUUUGGCGUCCAAGACUGCAAUCCUCCGUGGGGCUCUCCUUCCUGUCUCCUGAGCCCCAAGAUCUUCUUGCAGUGUUGCAGCACCAGGGAGAGAAGAGAUGCUGUGGCAAGAACAAGCUCUGCAGGAAUGUUCAGCUAUCAUAGGUCAGAUAUAAUGAAGAGGCAAUGUAAUCACAGGUAUUGACGUUUUGACAACCCUGCAUUAAUAAAUUCAGAUGCAUUUGCGCUGAGAGAGGUCAGAUUCCCAUUGAUGCCCUAGACUCUCAUAUGAACCUGGAAGAAGACACUAUGAUCAUCGAUAAAAGAAAGUGUCACUUUGAAGAAAUGGCCAACUUCAGAAAGAUGGUUGUGAAAGUGAAGAACUCAUUUCUGCAACAAUGGACAUACUUUGGAUUAUUUUUCAUGGGUGAUGUGACAACUGCAGUGUAAGUGGCUUGAGGGUGUCAAACUGUUUGCUGGAUUUGAUUUAUUAUUCCUGCCCAUAUUCUGUUCUUCCUUGGAGAAACAGGGACAGGGAAGUGUGCAGAGGAGGCCCACAUUUUAUCCAUACAACAACUUUAUGGGAUAUGUUAGGCUAAGACAGGGAUAUGGAACCUGUGGCCCUCCAGAUCUUCUUGGGCUCCAAUUC